GCGCGAAUGGUGAAAUUGUGAGACACGCUAGAUUUAGGGCUCUAGUGCUUUAAACAGCAUGAGGGUUCGAGUCCCUCUUCGCGCACCA
rnacentral:tRNA from 1 species